GGAAGAGAUGCCCCUGAGAAGAAGGAGAAGUUUUGCGACCCAAUGAGCUCAUGAUGGUUCACUUCAAUGAAACCUGCUGUGUCCUCUUGUGGAAUCAUUCUUCCCACUUGGGUACUCAGAGCCCCUAAAACAUCCGAACAAAGUUCUUUGAUGAACACCUCUUCUCUGUGGAUGGCUUUGCAAUCCUCAUCUGGAAAGCAGGACUUCAGGAUGCUUGAAAGCAUCCAUCUUGGAGGGCCUUCUGCUGCUGCUGCUAAGUCGCUUCAGUUGUGUCCAACUCUGUGUGACCCCAUAGACAGCAGCCCACCAGACUCCGCUCUCCCUGGGAUUCUCCAGGCAAGAACAUUGGAGUGGGUUGCCAUUUCCUUCCCCAGUGCAUGAAAAUGAAAAGUGAAAGUGAAGUCGCUCAGCUGUGUCCGACUCUUCGUGACCCCAUGGACUGCAGCCUUCCAGGCUCCUCCAUCCGUGGGAUUUUCCAGGCAAGAAUACUGGAGUGGGUUGCCACUGCCUUCUGCGUUGGAGGGCCUUGGGCAUCACCAAAGACAUCCAUUAGUUCCAGAGUUUCUGCAGCCAAGCUCAACAUUAGCAGGGUGGAUGGGGGUUUGAGGUCAUUUCUGGGACAAGGCUGCCUUCUGCAAGAGUGAUCAAGGGGGAGAGCCCCGAGGGUGCUUUCAGAAGCUUUUCUUUCAAUUCACACCCCUGUUCUACCCUGAAAGCCUCUAACAGCCCAGAAAAUCCAGGGGCAGCACAUAACACUCGCCUGUGUCUGAGACUGGUGAUCACAAGUCUUGCAGCAAGCACAGAGUGGUCAGCAGAUGGUCCCUAAGUCUUUCUAUCACAUGGAUAUCCUCCUUGUCUCCUCUCCUCUUGAAGGCACCCACCUUCUACAUUCUUUUUUUUUUUUUUUUAACUCAUUUUCAGGACUUCCCUAGUGGUCCAGUGGUUAAGACUUUGCCUUCCAGUUCAGGGGGGCAGGUUCAAACCCUGGUUGGGCAGCUGAGCUCCCACUUGCCUUGUGGCCAAGAACCAACCAAAUAAAUAUAACAAAACUGAAGCAGAAUUGUAACAAAUUCAAUAAAGACCUUAAAAAUGGUCCACAUUCAAAAAAAAAAAAAAUCAUUUUCAACAGCCUUGGAAUGCCAG
rnacentral:lncRNA from 1 species